UAUAAGUAUGCGAUGUAAAUGGUAGUGAAAAUCUACUGGUCUCUCUCUUAUCUAUUCUCAUUAGUCAUUAAUUUUAAGUAGAAUUGGUGUUUGCUAUAUUUCCCUGUUUAUUUAUCAAUUCAAUUGGAUAAUAAAAACAACCCUUUCAUUUCUUUGCUGCCGAGUCUUGAGUAUUGUAUGAACUUGACUCAAAGCUGCUGCUGGCUGCGGGAAUUGUUUUUUCGACUACUGUAAUUUUGAAAAUGAGCAUUAAAAUAUCCAUCAAAAUUAAGUAAAUAAAUCUGAAACAUAUAAAAUACAAUUGAUCUUGCUGUGAAAUAGGCUAUUAAUGCGAAAAUA
rnacentral:misc_RNA from 1 species